rnacentral:rRNA from 1 species
CCUACGGGUGGCAGCAGUCAAGAAUCAUUCACAAUGGGGGAAACCCUGAUGGUGCGACGCCGCGUGGGGGAAUGAAGGUCUUCGGAUUGUAAACCCCUGUCAUGUGGGAGCAAAUUAAAAAGAUAGUACCACAAGAGGAAGAGACGGCUAACUCUGUGCCAGCAGCCGCGGUAAUACAGAGGUCUUAAGCGUUGUUCGGAAGCACUGGGCGGAAAGCGUGCGUAGGCUGUUUCGUAAGUCGUGUGUGAAAGGCGCGGGCUCAACCCGCGGACGGCACAUGAUACUGCGAGACUAGAGUAAUGGAGGGGGAACCGGAAUUCUCGGUGUAGCAGUGAAAUGCGUAGAUAUCGAGAGGAACACUCGUGGCGAAGGCGGGUUCCUGGACAUUAACUGACGCUGAGGCACGAAGGCCAGGGGAGCGAAAGGGAUUAGAUACCCCAGUAGUC